rnacentral:lncRNA from 1 species
GGAAAAUGCUACCCCUUCUGGUAGCAUCAGGUAGCUAAAAAGAACUGAUGAUUUUCUUUGGAAGUCUUAAAUGCUAGGAAGAACAGCUUCCCUUGUCAGUCCUUCAGUCUUCUUAGAAUGUAUGACUUUGGGAGCUAAUGGAGGCUCUGCUGCCAAUCAGGGAGCUCUCCCACAAGAGAGAGAGGGGAAGAGAGCUCCACCAGCCUCACUGCCAAAGUGUAGUCAUUGCUCCUCAUGGAACCCUGCAGACCAAGAGCAGAUGAUGGCUCUGAGAGAUGCACAUUUCAAAACUGAAGCCGUAAAGCACAUUUUUCCCCCUCAGCUUGCAAUUGCCCCUUAAUUGGACCAUGAAUAGCAAUUACACUAUAAAGCCAACAGGAAUCUGUGGAUAAUUAGAGUGUGUCUUGGGCAGUGGGUCUUAAUGGAGGAACCUGACUAAUCAUUGAGCGACUUUCACCCUCCACCAAGUGAUAAAAUUGUCAUGAAAUGCCUAUCAAUCACUCAGAGAGAUUGCAAGUGUGAUUUUAAUUCCUGAUAGAGUAGGACUAAGAAGUCUAGAAAAUUGCAUCCUGCCCAUAAAGCUCUGUCUGUCCUUGAAGAAGUGGGAGAAGUAGAAACAAAGGUGUUUCCAUGGUUUGGGAAUUCAGUGUCCUGUCUGUAGCCACUUUAUACACAUAGCUUAUCUUGAUCCUCAGCAUAGCUUUGUGUGGAGAAUAUUUUCAAGUCUCUUGCAAAAUUAAAAGCACUGAGACUCAGACUAACUUACCCAAAUUCAUAUGGCUAAUAAAUCACAGAUCCAGAGUUUAUAUCUAGAUUUUUGUUUCAAUUUUUUUUUUUGAAGCAUUGGGAAUGGAACACUGAAUCUCAUGCAUGUUGAACGGAGUGUUCUACUACUGAGCACAUCCCCACCCACUCUUCUACGUGUUUUAAUAUCCAAAUUCUAUGAGCUUUUGAUUCUACUAUAAUUACUCAAUAUUUAUUGAGCCCCAACUACAGGCCAGCAGCUUUCCAUAUAUCUGUUUUUUCUUCCAACAGUUAUGAAAAAUAGGCUUUAAAAAAUUUCAUUUUAAAUGAAAAUAAAAUUUGGACAGG